CACUCCAUUGUCUAGAUUUCCUUCUAGGCACAAGAGGGCACCGUUUUCCCGCAGAUAAAUUAUAAUUCUCAAUUGUGCAUUUUCACCUCGACGUUUGGCCCUAGAGACGCUCUGUAGGACCGUCGGUAUGGUGCGUUAAUAUAUUUAGACACGUCACGACACGACACAUGUUGGGGUGGCUUUACCGAACAACUAAACAGCCAUACAAACUGACAUACAUACAGAGGUGAAUAUGGCGGACGUUUCUGAGAGGACGUUGCAAGUUGCAAUCGUUAUUUCAUUCGCAGUCGGUUUCAUUUCUGGAUGGCAGGCCAACCGAGCGCGGAGGAAGUUCCUGGACUGGAGGAAGAAGCGACUGCAGGAUAAACUCUCAGAAACACAGAAGAAACUGGAUUUGGCAUGAAAGUGAGGUAAAGGCUGUGAUAAUGACAGCAGGAGAUGUAGGACUGCUUGUGGUCUGACUUAACAUAGGUCGUCACCAAAAUAAAUGUUCAGUUGUCAGAUCAUGGACUUGCAAUAAAGUGAUUGGGAUCGUUGUCACAACCAGCAGAACUGAAGCAAGAUACAAAGACAAGUUUCUGAACAUGUUUUGUGAUUUGGUGACAGUGUUUCGCUGGGUCCUUCUUCUCAAAUGUGCUCCAGUCAUCUUCCAGACUACUGCUGUUUUUACGUUUUAAUAAAAGUAUGUGUUUUCUUA